rnacentral:tRNA from 4 species
AUAUAUAUAAUAUAAAUUAUUAACAUAUAAAUGUUAAAAAUUUAUUUAUUAUUUCAUUUGAAUUAUAUAUA